rnacentral:tRNA from 1 species
ACCUCGGUGAUCCAAUGGCUCAGGACGCUCGUACGGAAUACAAGAGAUCCGGGUUCGACUCCCGGCCGAGGUA